rnacentral:ribozyme from 1 species
UGCCCAGCAACUCCUAUCCCUACUUCCAGGCGGUACCGGCCGGAAACUAUGAGCAACCUUAGGGAAGAUCGGGUAACCAACCCCGGUGGGAACUUUGGUCGUAGGCUGACAGGGAAGG